rnacentral:rRNA from 1 species
AUUGAACGCUGGCGGAAUGCUUUACACAUGCAAGUCGAACGGCAGCACGGACUUCGGUCUGGUGGCGAGUGGCGAACGGGUGAGUAAUGUAUCGGAACGUGCCCAGUCGUGGGGGAUAACGUAGUGAAAAUUACGCUAAUACCGCAUACGGUCUAUGGAUGAAAGCGGGGGAUCGCAAGACCUCGCGCGAUUGGAGCGGCCGAUAUCAGAUUAGGUAGUUGGUGGGGUAAAGGCCCACAAAGCCAACGAUCUGUAGCUGGUCUGAGAGGACGACCAGCCACACUGGAACUGAGACACGGUCCAGACUCCUACGGGGGGCAGCAGUGGGGAAUUUUGGACAAUGGGCGAAAGCCUGAUCCAGCCAUUCCGCGUGCAGGAUGAAGGCCCUCGGGUUGUAAACUGCUUUUGUACAGAACGAAAAGGUUUCUACUAAUACUAGGAGCUCAUGACGGUACUGUAAGAAUAAGCACCGGCUAACUACGUGCCAGCAGCCGCCGCCG